rnacentral:rRNA from 1 species
UACAGAGGUCCCAAGCGUUGUUCGGAUUCAUUGGGCGUAAAGGGUGUGUAGGCGGCCAGAUAAGUCCGCUGUGAAAUCUCGAGGCUCAACUUCGAGCUGUCGGUGGAAACUGUCUGGCUAGAGUCCGGAAGAGGAGAAUGGAAUUCCUGGUGUAGCGGUGAAAUGCGCAGAUAUCAGGAAGAACACCCGUGGCGAAGGCGGUUCUCUGGGACGGUACUGACGCUGAGACGCGAAAGCGUGGGGAGCGAACAGG